UACGUAGGGUGCGAGCGUUAAUCGGAAUUACUGGGCGUAAAGGGUGCGCAGGCGGCGUCGCAAGUCAGGCGUGAAAUCCCCGGGCUUAACCUGGGAACUGCACUUGAAACUACGAUGCUGGAGUAUGGCAGAGGGAGGUGGAAUUCCACGUGUAGCGGUGAAAUGCGUAGAGAUGUGGAGGAACACCGGUGGCGAAGGCGGCGCUCUGGACCGAGACUGACGCUGAGGCGCGAAAGCGUGGGGAGCAAACAGG
rnacentral:rRNA from 1 species